GACGAACGCUGGCGGCGUGCUUAACACAUGCAAGUCGAACGGAAAGGCCCUGCUUUUGUGGUGUGCUCGAGUGGCGAACGGGUGAGUAACACGAGAGUAACCUGCCCUUUACUUUGGGUUCCCUUCAGGAAACUGGGGCUAAUACCGGAUAGGAGCUCCUGCUGCUUGGUGGGAGUUGGAACGUUUCGGCGGUUGGGGAUGGACUCGCGGCUUAUCAGCUUGUUGGUGGGGUAGUGGCUUACCAAGGCUUUGACGGGUAGCCGGCCUGAGAGGGUGACCGGCCACAUUGGGACUGAGAUGCGGCCCAGACUCCUACGGGAGGCAACAGUGGGGAAUGUUGCUCAAUGGGCGGAAGCCUGAUGCAGCAACGCGGCGUGCGGGAUGACGGCCUUCGGGUUGUAAUCCGCUUUCGCCUGUGACGAAGCGUGAGUGACGGUAAUGGGUAAAGAAGCACCGGCUAACUACGUG
rnacentral:rRNA from 1 species